AGUGAGAGUAGGAAGCAAAAGCAGGAGCUUCCGUCUCCUCUUCCUUCUCUCUUGCCUCAAAUCUCGUAACACAGAUUCUCUGUCUCUUUCUCUCGCACCAGAGAAAGCAAGUAUUACGGAGCGAUCCUAGGUAGAUUCUUCCCCCAAAUUCGCUACCGGAGACGACGAGCCUGCUCUCUGCUCCGAGCCGACGGUGCUUGCGAUCCUUCCUCGUGACGACGAAACCACUCUCUGUUUUCGCAGGUUCGCUCGGGGUCCCUUACGGCUUCGUCUUGCAUCGCCACCGGCAGCCCAAAGUCACUACCGAGACGAGACGAGCCGAGCCGUGUCACAAAUCGUCGGCCGAAUCACCGCCGCGUGCACCUUGCCGAACCGUCACCGCAGCCAUGCUUUGCCAGUGAGCACCUUACCGGUCAUCCGUCGAGGCGAUUCCGAUGAAGUCCAAAUUUGGCACUUUUAUCCUGUGAAGUUAGUAUACCCCCUAGGAUCUCGGUCUUCAUUGGAUUAUCGGUCAUCUGUGUGUGCUCUGCUGCGGAAGCAUUCCGAAAACCUCACCACACCAAGUUACAACCUUUUUUCUCUUUGAGAGAGACAGGGAGGUCUGGAAGUAAUACACUUCCUAAAUAUGGCCAGAGCAUCAGAAGGUGGGUACGAUGUGUUCCUGAGUUUCAGCGGAAAUGAUACUCGUC